AGCUUCCCACAGUGGCGAUAUCGUAACCAAUGAGGUUAUACCGAGGUGCGACUAUUACUAAUUAAUAAAAAAAAUCCUAUUUAAUAGUGUAUCAUGUUUUCUACAAGGAAUUUGGGACAGUUUUAUUUUGAUAA